rnacentral:rRNA from 1 species
CAGUAGCCACGGAAUACGAAGGGGGCUAGCGUUGCUCGGAAUGACUGGGCGUAAAGGGCGCGUAGGCGGCGAUCAAAGUCAGGCGUGAAAUUCCUGGGCUCAACCUGGGGGCUGCGCUUGAUACUUGGUUGCUUGAGUGGGGAAGAGGGUCGUGGAAUUCCCAGUGUAGCAGUGAAAUGCGUAGAGAUGUGGAGGAAUACCGAUGGCGAAGGCAGCCCCCUGGGCCAAUACUGACGCUCAUGCACGAAAGCGUGGGGAGCAAACAGGAUUAGAUACCCCGGUAGUCCCUGUCUCUUAUACA